UGGAAUGGUCUUUCUGGAAUGGAGGC
rnacentral:piRNA from 1 species